rnacentral:rRNA from 1 species
UACGGGGGGGGGCAAGCGUUGUUCGGAAUUACUGGGCGUAAAGGGCUCGUAGGCGGCCAACUAAGUCAUACGUGAAAUCCCUCGGCUUAACCGGGGAACUGCGUCUGAUACUGGAUGGCUUGAGUUCGGGAGAGGGAUGCGGAAUUCCAGGUGUAGCGGUGAAAUGCGUAGAUAUGUGGAGGAACACCGAUGGCGAAGGCAGCCCCCCUGGGUCAAGACUGACGCUCAUGCACGAAAGCGUGGGGAGCAAACAGG